rnacentral:lncRNA from 1 species
GCCAAUACUCCUGUCUGCUCUCCUGAUUGUGCCUGGAUUACCAAGUCAGGUGUUAAUUGUUUGAAGAGUGGACAGGAGGAGAAACAGAACAAGGGGGUGCACUCAGCUCCCUGCCAGAGGCAGCCUCCGGACAGCCCGGAGUCCAGGAAGCACAUCCAGGUAAAGGAAAAUCACCCUGUUGUCAACUUCUCAACAGAGAGGUCAUUGGUAACAAACUGAAGGCAGCCUCCAGCCAACAGUUAGCAAGGAGCUGAACUCUGCCAAGAACCGUGGGAGUUAGAUUGGAUACCACUCCUCUCUGAGUUGAGCCCCAAGCUGACUGACUCCAGCCAACACGUGACUGCAGGUAUGUGAGAGAUCCUGGAAUGGAGGACUAGCUAAGCUAUCCUUGGAUAAGUCAUGGCUAGAGAAGUACUGUUGUUUCAAACCACUAAUUGGGGGGGGGGGAUAUGUUAUGCAGUAAUAGCCAAUUGAUACAUUUCCCUCCCCUCAGACUGGGCCUCUCUCUGUCUCCCUCCACCCUGCACCCUUUCUGACUUCCCUAAAUGCAAAUAUGACUUUGAAAUUUCC